rnacentral:misc_RNA from 1 species
GAUGAAGAACGUAGCGAAAUGUGAUAAGUAAUGUGAAUUGCAGAAUUCAGUGAAUCAUCGAAUCUUUGAACGCACAUUGCGCCCCCUGGUAUUCCGGGGGGCAUGCCUGUUCGAGCGUCAUUUCACCACUCAAGCCUCGCUUGGUAUUGGGCAACGCGGUCCGCCGCGUGCCUCAAAUCGUCCGGCUGGGUCUUCUGUCCCCUAAGCGUUGUGGAAACUAUUCGCUAAAGGGUGUUCGGGAGGCUACGCCGUAAAACAACCCCAUUUCUAAGGUUGACCUCGGAUCAGGUAGGGAUACCCGCUGAACUUAAGCAUAUCAAUAAGCGGAGGA